CCCUCACUUUCUGGCCGAUGUGGCGAUGGUGGUGCCUACUAUUUCUCCUCUGCGUCUUCCGGCCGCUACGCCGGCGCCUACGCGGCAUUUUUAGCGAUGGCGCUCUCCCUUGCGGUGAUGAUUCGACGACGGCGUACGAGAGAGGAAAUUUUGCUUCAGAGAAGUAGUACGAGAGGAGAAGUUGUGUUUUAGAGAGAAGGCAUAUGCGCCUACCAAACUCGAUGGUCGGCAAAGCGGCUACGCAAGAUAGCCAAUGCCAUCAAAGGGAAGAAGAGGGGUGCAAUAAGCAAGUCCACUUUCGGUGAUUUGCUUCACAUAUCUCCUCUGGUUCCUCCUCCGGAAGCGCUUCUAGAUUUCAUAGUUAUGAGGAUUGACACUAAGAAGCGUCUGCUCAAGUUAAAUGAUCGCAAGAAGAUCCCCUUCACAAGACAUAUGGUUAAGAAGAUAUUCAAUGUCCCAUCUGGUAGCAAAUCGCUAGAAUUCGGCAAGAGGGGGAAAGCAAAUUUCCGCGACGUUCAUUUGGAUGGUGAAAGGGCUACAAUAGCCACCACAGUAGCUGUUAUAUUAAAAGCGGAUGAUGACGAUGAGGAGACCAUUAGUAGGUCAUGGGACAGGAAACAUGGUGCCUCUAGACUAUCUCCACACCUUACGAGACAUGAGUGUCGUCCAUGAGUUCGACUGGGACGAGCAUAUUUUGUCUGAUGUGAUGAGAGAAGUUAAAAAAAUAUCAGAAUAAAAAUAAUGACGGUAAAGUGAAAUUCCUGAUUGGCGGUUGUCUACCAAUGCUUCCGGUUAUUUACAUGGACCACCUCGACAUCCCAAGAUGAUGCAUUGUUGAUCAUCCCAUCGACUACUCGUUGCCAUGAGCUUGUUUUCUUCAAGACAUGGACUUCACUGUUGUUGUUGCAGUCGACAUCCUAGACGAUGGCUUCGGAAAGCGCCCUUUCAGCUUCGGUACACCUUACGCAACAUCAAAGUUUAUGUCAUAUAUGUAGAUCAACUUGCCCAAAGAUCAAUCCAAGGCAAUGUCCAGAGGAGCCGCCGAAAAUAAAUGACCAAGGUGGAGCUGUUGCGGCCGCAACACCCACUCUGGAUGUGCCUGAGAGCUCCCACACACAAGCCAAUCCACAAGGGGGAGCCAAUGUGGGCUCUCGAGAACCAUCUAAGGGUGGCAUGGAGGGUACCGAUGGCAUAGCAGAGAAUGUGCACGAGGCACCUCCGGAUAAGAUGGCGGAUGGUGAUGAUGUGUACAGCUCUCUGGAGGAGUGGCUCCAUGCAUUGCCUACAUUUGAGGAGUUAGAGCUGCCCCCACAUCUUCGUGUCAUAUACAACAAGCACAAAGAGCUGCAUGCUGCAUAACUCUAAAUUGUUUCCGCAGCUGUCUAAGCAACCAGAUGGCAUUCAUGGGACUACAACAACCGCUACAACCAGUGCCAGUGAAGUGUCUCCGCAGUAGCCCAAGCAACCCAAUGGCGCAAAGAGUGGGGAUGCAGCUGUGGAAGUUGGUCACAAUAUGAUCUACGCUGGAUGAUCUUGGUUCAUGUUCAUAUGGAGAAAAGCUUCAACACAUAUUGGUUCUUUCGCAAUAUGCGAACAGCCUGGGAUCUGGCAAGGCCGACCAAGAUCAAAACCCUCGAGGAAAGCUUGUUCCACAUGCAGUUUAACUACUUGGGUGAUUGAGCGAAGGUUACCCAAGGUGGCUCAUGGCACUUUAGGGGGAACCCGAUGAUCAUCGCUCUGUAUGAUGGAUACACCAAACCAUCGUCCAUUGAGCUCUACACUUUUUGAAAUUUGAGCAAGAAUAAUCGAUCUCCCAAUUGCGUAU